rnacentral:rRNA from 1 species
AUUGAACGCUGGCGGCAGGCCUAACACAUGCAAGUCGAGCGGAUGAAGGGAGCCUGCUCCUGGAUUCAGCGGCGGACGGGUGAGUAAUGCCUAGGAAUCUGCCUGGUAGUGGGGGAUAACGUCCGGAAACGGGCGCUAAUACCGCAUACGUCCUGAGGGAGAAAGUGGGGGAUCUUCGUACCUCACGCUAUCAGAUGAGCCUAGGUCGGAUUAGCUAGUUGGUGGGGUAAGGGCCUACCAAGGCGACGAUCCGUAACUGGUCUGAGAGGAUGAUCAGUCACACUGGAACUGAGACACGGUCCAGGCUCCUACGGGAGGCAGCAGUGGGGAAUAUUGGACAAUGGGCGAAAGCCUGAUCCAGCCAUGCCGCGUGUGUGAAGAAGGUCUUCGGAUUGUAAAGCACUUUAAGUUGGGAGGAAGGGCAGUAAGUUAAUACCUUGCUGUUUUGACGUUACCAACAGAAUAAGCACCGGCUAACUUCGUG